CACAAACUGCCCCCAUACACACGCACUGCUCCCCCAUACACACACUGCUCCUCCAUACACACAUACUGCUCCCCCAUACACACACUGCUCCCCCAUACACACAUACUGCCACCCCAUAUACACACACUGCCACCCCAUAUACACACACUGCCCCCCAUACACACACACUGCAACUGUUACACACACAUACUGUCCCACACAUACACUGCCGCCCUCACUCACACACUACAACCUUCACACACACACUGCACCCCUUACACAUUGCACCACUCACAUACACCACUGCUCCUAUGCCCUACUACAGCCCCAUUUCCCAGCAGAUGUUAGGUAAGUUGUCAAACUGUUCUUAACCAGUUUGACUACUUACUGUGGGAGGGGGUCCCGGCACUAUUGACACCAUAACCACUACACUGGGCUGUAGUGGUUAUUGUGUCUGGAUUAUUUCUUUAAAUAAUCUACAAGUGCCCCUCCCGAGAUCAGGCUCUGGAUCCGCCACUGUCCC